GUCCAAUGUGACUCUGCAGCCAGCCACAGCAUAUGAGCAAUUAGAAGUUCUCAUCUGACUCAGGUGCCUCCUGGCAACAGUGAGUUACCGUUGUGGGAAAGGACUGUCUUUGGUGUGCACCAGAAGGGGCUGCUUGGUCUUUCCACAGCUCCCAUUUAAAGCUUUGGUAUGAGCAAGGACAAGGUGCAGCGAUGACAAGCAGGACCAUCAUCUCAGAGCCCAGCAACUGAAGCAUCUUCUCAAGAUCAGUUCAACUCAGCUCUGAAGUGCUGCCUGACAAUCCCAAAUCAAAGGGUGUCCAGUGGAAGAUCACAGUUAUGGCAGUUUGGGGAGAAGGAAACAAAACCACCAUGCAAUGAGAUAUCUUGUGACAAAUAUCUUACCCUAACUGGGGUCAAAAUAUCUGACCUAUUUACAGAAAAGGAGCAGAUUGAUAGCUUGCCUGUUCUGGUGCAGGAGGAUGCCAUCCUCCGCAGAGUUUACUUUUUUCUUCAGAACGCACCAAAACCUCCUGAAGUUCACCAGGAAUUUCGUAGCACCUGUCUGGCAAAAAAUCUGCUGGUCAUCUGACUUUUCCUGUGGUUUCUCAGAUGAUGCCUUCAGGACUUGCUGUGCCCCCAGUCCCUCCUCACAGGAUGGAAGCAUUUUGGUAUCACCUGAGCCAUACUUCAGUGUAGAGCCCAGCAGAGCCCCACAGAUACUUGGAAGAGGAUUAUGGGUCCUUUCCCACAAAUCUAGAGACAGUCAUCACCUGCCUUGGCUUGUGACUACCUCUUCACAGGAUUCUGAACUGAAAUAGGUAUCACUGGCAUUCCUGACCACAGCAAGCCUCAGAAAAUAGCCAUCAAUAGCCUUGGCCUUGUACAGCUGACCCUGCUUGAACUGUGAUUACUUCUCCAGAAUUCACCCAGAUUGUAUUGGCAACCAGCAUGAAGUAUGAGCCCAGUCUGUCCUAAAGACUAAUAACUUAGCCAUGAAGAUUGGCUUCACGUGCCAUGUUAAUCGAGUCUCUCUUGAAGUUAAAAAUGAUCAGUGAUUUCCACAGGGAGUUAGAAAAUUAAUACAG